AUUGAACGCUGGCGGCAUGCUUUACACAUGCAAGUCGAACGGUAACAGGUUAAGCUGACGAGUGGCGAACGGGUGAGUAAUGCGUCGGAACGUGCCCGGUCGUGGGGGAUAACGCAGCGAAAGUUGCGCUAAUACCGCAUACAAUCUGAGGAUGAAAGCGGGGGACCGUAAGGCCUCGCGCGAUCGGAGCGGCCGAUGUCAGAUUAGGUAGUUGGUGGGGUAAAGGCUCACCAAGCCAACGAUCUGUAGCUGGUCUGAGAGGACGGCCAGCCACACUGGGACUGAGACACGGCACAGACUCCUACGGGAGGCAGCAGUGGGGAAUUUUGGACAAUGGGCGAAAGCCUGAUCCAGCAAUGCCGCGUGCAGGAAGAAGGCCUUCGGGUUGUAAACUGCUUUUGUAUGGAGUGAAAAGGUCUCCUCUAAUACAGGGGGCUCAUGACGGUACCGUAAGAAUAAGCACCGGCUAACUACGUGCCAGCAGCCGCGGUAA
rnacentral:rRNA from 1 species